rnacentral:rRNA from 1 species
AGCGAACGCUGGCGGCAGGCCUAAACAUGCAAGUCGAACGCCGUAGCAAUACGGAGUGGCAGACGGGUGAGUAACACGUGGGAACGUACCCUUUGGUUCGGAACAACACAGGGAAACUUGUGCUAAUACCGGAUAAGCCCUUACGGGGAAAGAUUUAUCGCCAAAGGAUCGGCCCGCGUCUGAUUAGCUUGUUGGUGAGGUAACGGCUCACCAAGGCUACGAUCAGUAGCUGGUCUGAGAGGAUGAUCAGCCACACUGGGACUGAGACACGGCCCAGACUCCUACGGGAGGCAGCAGUUAGGAAUCUUGGACAAUGGGCGCAAGCCUGAUCCAGCCACGCCGCGUGAGUGAUGAAGGCCUUAGGGUUGUAAAGCUCUUUCAGCGGGGAAGAUAAUGACGGUACCCGCAGAAGAAGCCCCGGCUAACUUCGUGCCAGCCGCCGCCGUAA